rnacentral:rRNA from 1 species
AGACUCUGUGCGCGUGCAUAUCAAUAAGCGGAGGAAAAGAAACUAACAAGGAUUCCCCUAGUAACGGCGAGUGAAGCGGGAAGAGCUCAAAUUUGAAAUCUUCAAGGUUUACCUUGACGAAUUGUAGUUUAAAGAAGUGUUUUCUGUUAGAGAGUAGGUAAAAGUUCUUUGGAAUAGGACAUCAUAGAGGGUGAGAAUCCCGUAUUUGACCUAUUCUUUCUAGCUGUGUGAUACACUUUCAAAGAGUCGGAUUGUUUGGGAAUGCAGUCCAAAAUGGGUGGUAAAUUUCAUCUAAAGCUAAAUAUUGGCGAGAGACCGAUAGCGAACAAGUACCGUGAGGGAAAGAUGAAAAGAACUUUGAAAAGAGAGUUAAACAGUACGUGAAAUUGUCAAAAGGGAAGCGUUUGACACCAGUGUUGUUUUUCCGAAAAUCAAUUACGAAUGUUUUAUUUUGAGAAGUUAUGACUUCAUCGGCUUGCUUCUCUCUUUAUGAAACUUUCUUAAUGCACUUUUCGGUUAACAAGUCAACAUCAAUUUCUUUUGUUGUAAAAGGGUAUGAGGAAGGUGGCUUUCUUUUCGGAGAAAGUGUUUAUAGCCUUGUACCUCUGCAAUCGGAGAGAUUGAGGUCUGCAGCGUAGAUCCUUCGGGGUUAGAUACAUUUGUGCUAAGUUAUAGCUUUUCAUAGACAACUUGUUGACUAUGUUUAGUCUUGUAGCUUACUCGCUUAUGCUAUUUUACCUACGCUUAGGAUGUUGAACUCUAUCACACACAG